rnacentral:rRNA from 1 species
AUUGAACGCUGGCGGCAGGCUUAACACAUGCAAGUCGAGCGGAGGUGAGGUGCUUGCACCUUAUCUUAGCGGCGGACGGGUGAGUAAUGCUUAGGAAUCUGCCUAUUAGUGGGGGACAACAUUCCGAAAGGAAUGCUAAUACCGCAUACGUCCUACGGGAGAAAGCAGGGGAUCUUCGGACCUCGCGCUAAUAGAUGAGCAUAAGUCGGAUUAGCUAGUUGGUGGGGUAAAGGCCGACCAAGGCGACGAUCUGUAGCGGGUCUGAGAGGAUGAGCCGCCACACUGGGACUGAGACACGGCCCAGACUCCUACGGGAGGCAGCAGUGGGGAAUAUUGGACAAUGGGGGGAACCCUGAUCCAGCCAUGCCGCGUGUGUGAAGAAGGCCUUAUGGUUGUAAAGCACUUUAAGCGAGGAGGAGGCUACUGAGACUAAUACUCUUGGAUAGUGGACGUUACUCGCAGAAUAAGCACCGGCUAACUCUGUGCCAGCAGCCGCCGUAA